UACGGGGGGAGCAAGCGUUGUUCGGAUUUACUGGGCGUAAAGGGCGCGUCGGCGGCGUGACAAGUCACUUGUGAAAUCUCCGGGCUUAACCCGGAACGGUCAAGUGAUACUGUCGUGCUAGAGUACAGAAGGGGCAACUGGAAUUCUCGGUGUAGCGGUGAAAUGCGUAGAUAUCGAGAGGAACACCUGCGGCGAAGGCGGGUUGCUGGGCUGAUACUGACGCUGAGGCGCGAAAGCCAGGGGAGCGAACGGG
rnacentral:rRNA from 1 species